rnacentral:lncRNA from 1 species
GAGAGAAAUAUCAACAAAUGGGAGGUGCUAGGGUUAGAGAUUAAAACUUUAGGGAAUCUAAAUUUCCACAACACCCAACCGUCCGCCGGUCAAUACAAUGUGCACAGUACUAUCGCUGCCCGUAUGUACUAUCGCCGGUCAGUCAGUACCUUCGCUGUCAUAAACUUAGCAUCAAAGGUGCAAUUUUACUCCAACGGUUACAAUUAAUAGGCAUUAAAU